GAGCAUUUUUUGCAGUUGAAGCAAUCAUUAUGCCAUUGGCGCUCCUCAAAUGAGAUGUACUUGGUUCCUCCAAGACCUGGAAAUAAGUUAAUUCCAAAAGAAGGGUGCAGGAGUAUAUCCCACUGGGUUCAACAGAAAAUCCCAUUGUCUAAUCCUUCGUGCUCCAGCACAUAAAGGGAAUGGAGACCUUGUAAAAGCCCAGAGAUCAUUUGACAUGAAGUGGAAAUUUGUGCUAUAAGUAUAACCUAUAAUGGUAUUUGAUGAGGACAUCCCUUCCCCCAGUGUGGGAGGCCAAGAAUUAUGAGAGGCUUAGUAACAAGAAAGUUUUCCCUAUGGAUACCGGAGACCUUGAAAACAAUCAAACACAGGAGCAACUUAACUUUAAAGGAGAAAUCUCUUCGUCUAAAUAUGAUUUGAUAAAGCUCUUAGCUUAACUUGGCAGCUUACAAAACUGUGCAGUUUAUAUGUUCAUUGGGUUGUUGCUAGCAUUUAAUUUAGAAAUAAACUUGUGUUUUCCAAAGACCAAAAACUAAAGACCCAGUAGCAAUGAAAAACAAACAGCAUUGCAAAUCACUGAUUGUUCUUUUAUUGUCAAUCAAUCACAAUUUCAUUGCUUAGUUUCAUUAAAAUUAAACAUUUGGUUUCUACUGAAUUUUUUAAUGUUUCUUCAUUUGUUACCCUUUAUUAAAUAUUCACAGUAUCAUUACAUAAAUGACCUAAGCAUUUAACAUUCAAUAUAAAUUGGUAUAAAUAUAACCUUAUUUACUAACUAUGUUGAAGGUUACAUUACAGAUAUUAUUAUCCUA